GCAGGUAGCAAUACUGGGCGGCGACCGGCAAACGGGUGCGGAACACGUACGUAACCUUCCUUUAAGUGGGAGAUAGCCCGAAGAGAUUCGGAUUAAUACCCCAUAAGAUCAUGGAGUGGCAUCACUCAGUGAUUAAAGAAUUUCGCUUAAAGAUGGGCGUGCGGCUGAUUAGGUAGUUGGUGAGGUAACGGCUCACCAAGCCAACGAUCAGUAACUGGCGUGAGAGCGCGACCAGUCACACGGGCACUGAGACACGGGCCCGACUCCUACGGGAGGCAGCAGUAAGGAAUAUUGGUCAAUGGACGGAAGUCUGAACCAGCCAUGCCGCGUGAAGGAUGAAGGUCCUCUGGAUUGUAAACUUCUUUUAUAUGGGAAGAAACCACUUUUUUCUAAAGGUGUUGACGGUACCAUAGGAAUAAGCACCGGCUAACUCCGUGCCAGCAGCCGCGGUAAUACGGAGGGUGCAAGCGUUAUCCGGAUUCACUGGGUUUAAAGGGUGCGUAGGCGGAUUAGUAAGUCCGUGGUGAAAUCUCCGAGCUUAACUCGGAAACUGCCGUGGAUACUAUUAAUCUUGAAUGCUGUGGAGGUUAGCGGAAUAUGUCAUGUAGCGGUGAAAUGCAUAGAUAUGACAUAGAACACCAAUUGCGAAGGCAGCUGGCUACACAGAGAUUGACGCUGAGGCACGAAAGCGUGGGGAUCAAACAGGAUUAGAUACCCUGGUAGUCCACGCCCUAAACGAUGAUUACUCGACAUUUGCGAUAUACAGUAAGUGUCUGAGCGAAAGCAUUAAGUAAUCCACCUGGGAAGUACGACCGCAAGGUUGAAACUCAAAGGAAUUGACGGGGGUCCG
rnacentral:rRNA from 1 species